AAAUUUUUCAUCAAGAAAUAUAGCAAUGUCUUUAAUCUUUUAAACAGAGAUCCAAAUGUCUCAAAACAUUGUACUGCAUUGCCGAAGGAAUUUGACUGCGGCCAUGCUGGAGCACCACCUUUAGACGAACGAAUCGACCCCAUGACUUAUUCUUUGAAGUCCAGCUUUUGACAAAACUUUCCAGAGCACCAGUGUAUCAAAGGCAUUGGUAAAGUCGACAAAGAC